AACGAACGCUGGCGGCAUGCCUAACACAUGCAAGUCGAACGAGACCUUCGGGUCUAGUGGCGCACGGGUGCGUAACGCGUGGGAACCUGCCCUUAGGUUCGGAAUAACUCCCCGAAAGGGGUGCUAAUACCGGAUAAUGUCUUCGGACCAAAGAUUUAUCGCCUUUGGAUGGGCCCGCGUUGGAUUAGCUAGUUGGUAGGGUAAAAGCCUACCAAGGCGACGAUCCAUAGCUGGUCUGAGAGGAUGAUCAGCCACACUGGGACUGAGACACGGCCCAGACUCCUACGGGAAGCAGCAGUGGGGAAUAUUGGACACUGGGCGAAAGCCUGAUCCAGCAAUGCCGCGUGAGUGAUGAAGGCCUUAGGGUUGUAAAGCUCUUUUACCCGGGAUGAUAAUGACAGUACCGGGAGAAUAAGCUCCGGCUAACUCCGUG
rnacentral:rRNA from 1 species